GACGAACGCUGGCGGCGUGCUUAACACAUGCAAGUCGAACGGUGAUGCUCCAGUUUGCUGGAGUGGAUCAGUGGCGAACGGGUGAGUAACGGGGGGGAACCUGCCCCAGACUUGGGAAUAAGCGGGGGAAACGGCGUUUAUAACUGGUAACGAAAUUGGGCCGGAGGGGCAUGGGUUGGAAAGUUUUUCGGUUUGGGAUGGGCUCGCGGCCGACCAGCUUGUUGGUGAAGUAAUGGCUCACCAAGGCGACGACGGGUAGCCGGCCUGAGAGGGGGACCGGCCACGCUGGGACUGAGACACGGCCCAGACUCCGACGGGAGGCAGCAGUGGGGAAUAUUGCACAAUGGGCGAAAGCCUGAUGCAGCGACGCCGCGUGAGGGAUGACGGCCUUCGGGUUGUAAACCUCUUUCAGCAGGGAAGAAGCGAAAGUGACGGUACCUGCAGAAGAAGCACCGGCUAACUACGUG
rnacentral:rRNA from 1 species